rnacentral:rRNA from 1 species
GAUGCCUUUAACCGGGUGUCGGGGGCGGACGGCACGUUUACUUUGAACAAAUUUGAGUGCUCAAAGCAGGCUUAUGCCUGAAAAUUCUUGCAUGGAAUAAUGGAAUAGGACUUCGGUUCUAUUUUGUUGGUUUUCGGAUCCGAAGUAAUGGUUAAGAGGGACAGACGGGGGCAUUUGUAUGGCGGUGUUAGAGGUGAAAUUCUUGGAUCGCCGCCAGACAAACUACAGCGAAAGCAUUUGCCAAGGAUGUUUUCAUUGAUCUGGAGCGAAAGUCAGAGGUUCGAAGACGAUCAGAUACCGUCCUA